UCGAUUCCGUAAGUAGCGGCGAGCGAACGCGGAUUAGCCCAAACCAAUAAAGUUUUCUUUAUUGGGGUUGCGGACAUAUCAUAACGAAGAGAUAUCGUAAUUGAAGAGGUUUGGAAAGACCCACCACAGAAGGUAAUAGUCCUGUAUGUUAAACGAGAAGACUUUAGAUAUGAUCCAGAGUACCACGGGACACGUGAAACCCUGUGGGAAGCAGGAGGG
rnacentral:rRNA from 1 species